UCGAACGGAAAGGCCCUGCUUGCAGGGUACUCGAGUGGCGAACGGGUGAGUAACACGUGGGUGAUCUGCCCUGCACUUCGGGAUAAGCUUGGGAAACUGGGUCUAAUACCGGAUAGGAACCAUCUUUAGUGUGGUGGUUGGAAAGUUUUUUCGGUGUAGGAUGAGCUCGCGGCCUAUCAGCUUGUUGGUGGGGUAAUGGCCUACCAAGGCGGCGACGGGUAGCCGGCCUGAGAGGGUGUACGGCCACAUUGGGACUGAGAUACGGCCCAGACUCCUACGGGAGGCAGCAGUGGGGAAUAAUGCACAAUGGGCGCAAGCCUGAUGCAGCGACGCCGCGUGGGGGAUGAAGGCCUUCGGGUUGUAAACUCCUUCGCUAGGGACGAAGCUUUUUGGUGACGGUACCUAGAUAAGAAGCACCGGCUAACUACGUGCCAGCAGCCGCGGUAAUACGUAGGGUGCGAGCGUUGUCCGGAAUUACUGGGCGUAAAGGGCUCGUAGGUGGUUUGUCGCGUCGUCUGUGAAAUUCUGGGGCUUAACUCCGGGCGUGCAGGCGAUACGGGCAUAACUUGAGUGCUGUAGGGGUAACUGGAAUUCCUGGUGUAGCGGUGAAAUGCGCAGAUAUCAGGAGGAACACCGAUGGCGAAGGCAGGUU
rnacentral:rRNA from 1 species